UACGAAGGGGGCUAGCGUUGUUCGGAAUUACUGGGCGUAAAGCGUGCGCAGGCGGUUUUGUAAGUCUGUCGUGAAAUCCCCGGGCUCAACCUGGGAAUUGCGAUGGAGACUGCAAGGCUAGAAUCUGGCAGAGGGGGGUAGAAUUCCACGUGUAGCAGUGAAAUGCGUAGAGAUGUGGAGGAACACCGAUGGCGAAGGCAGCCCCCUGGGUCAAGAUUGACGCUCAUGCACGAAAGGCGUGGGGAGCAAACGAGG
rnacentral:rRNA from 1 species